GCUCAGAUUGAACGCUGGCGGCAGGCUUAACACAUGCAAGUCGAGCGGGGGAAGGUAGCUUGCUACCGGACCUAGCGGCGGACGGGUGAGUAAUGCUUAGGAAUCUGCCUAUUAGUGGGGGACAACAUCUCGAAAGGGAUGCUAAUACCGCAUACGUCCUACGGGAGAAAGCAGGGGAUCUUCGGACCUUGCGCUAAUAGAUGAGCCUAAGUCGGAUUAGCUAGUUGGUGGGGUAAAGGCCUACCAAGGCGACGAUCUGUAGCGGGUCUGAGAGGAUGAUCCGCCACACUGGGACUGAGACACGGCCCAGACUCCUACGGGAGGCAGCAGUGGGGAAUAUUGGACAAUGGGGGGAACCCUGAUCCAGCCAUGCCGCGUGUGUGAAGAAGGCCUUAUGGUUGUAAAGCACUUUAAGCGAGGAGGAGGCUACUUUAGUUAAUACCUAGGGAUAGUGGACGUUACUCGCAGAAUAAGCACCGGCUAACUCUGUGCCAGCAGCCGCGGUAAUACAGAGGGUGCGAGCGUUAAUCGGAUUUACUGGGCGUAAAGCGUGCGUAGGCGGCUUAUUAAGUCGGAUGUGAAAUCCCCGAGCUUAACUUGGGAAUUGCAUUCGAUACUGGUGAGCUAGAGUAUGGGAGAGGAUGGUAGAAUUCCAGGUGUAGCGGUGAAAUGCGUAGAGAUCUGGAGGAAUACCGAUGGCGAAGGCAGCCAUCUGGCCUAAUACUGACGCUGAGGUACGAAAGCAUGGGGAGCAAACAGGAUUAGAUACCCUGGUAGUCCAUGCCGUAAACGAUGUCUASUAGCCGUUGGGGCCUUUGAGGCUUUAGUGGCGCAGCUAACGCGA
rnacentral:rRNA from 1 species